rnacentral:rRNA from 1 species
GCCCCGGCUAACUACGUGCCAGCAGCCGCGGUAAUACGUAGGGGGCGAGCGUUGUCCGGAAUCAUUGGGCGUAAAGAGUACGUAGGCGGUAUGAUAAGUUAGGAGUAAAAGGCACCGGCUCAACCGGCGUAAGCUUUUAAAACUGUCAUACUUGAGACAUUGAGGGGAAAGUGGAAUUUCUAGUGUAGCGGUGAAAUGCGCAGAUAUUAGGAAGAAUACCAGAGGCGAAAGCGACUUUCUAGCGAUGCUCUGACGCUGAGGUACGAAAGCGUGGGAAGCAAACAGGAUUAGAUACCCUGGUAGUCCACGCCGUAAACGAUGAGUGCUAGAUGUCGGGUGUCAAAGCUCGGUAUCGCCGUUAACACAUUAAGCACUCCGCCUGGGGAGUACGUACGCA